rnacentral:lncRNA from 1 species
UGAAGUCCCCUUCUCACACUUUCUGAGUGUGUUCCUCCCUGGGAAAUAAUUCCAGUGGGCUUGUGCUUAUCUGCAAGUCUGGGGGGAGACCCCAGAGACAGCCUCCCUGGAGCCACAUUGCAAGUGGCCAGAGCUGCAUCCAGCAUCACCCCCUCUGAGGGGCCGGUAGACAGCUCCAGGCGGAGCUCAAAGUGUCCUCGGACUCCAGCAGGAAGUGUUGGACUGGAUGUCGGUGGGGUCCUUUGAGACCCCGAUUCUGCAACCUCAGCCCCCGGGGCCCUCCAGGCCCACAGUCCUGCUGACUGAAAUGUCGGCAAUGGUGGCCACUGCGCCUCUGCUCAAGAGUUUGCAGGAAGUUCCACGUGGGAGAUCAAGUGAGAGUGGCCAGGGGCCUCUAGCAAUGACCAGCAGACAAAGCCUGGUCUCCAGGCAUCACCAGGCCACUGGGCCAGGAGCCUGAGCUGUGGGCUCUGUGGUGGGUGGAUGCUGGUUUUCUUCACUGGUACAGGAGAAAAUGGGGAUCCUGAGAGAUCCCAUGGAGAAGCUUCCAGCAAGCUGGGCCUGGAUCCCAGCCCGCCUCUGCUCAGGUGUUCAUAGUUGUGGACGCUGAGUAUCUGCCAGUCCUAGUCCCUCGGAGGGACCCAUGCACUCCAGGAAGCAGCCUCAGACCCAGGGAGGUGGUAUCAUGCACUGAUGAUGGCAAGGCCUCCUGGAAGCCCCUGGGGCAAAACCUCUUGGCAGUGCUCAAGGCCCCACACUGGAAAGUGGACACAGCACAGUGAUUUGCCAUGUCCAGGCCGGUGCAGAGCAGCAGGCAGCCCACGUCACUCUCCUGGGCCAUCUCUCUGCAGGGGACAGCCACCAUCUGAGCCCCCCAUCCAGGGGUUCCCAUGUGGGGACACCUUCUGGCAGCCCAGCUGAGCUCCCACCCCUAGCAAACACUGCCGGCCUCCCACCCCAGAGUGCUUUCAAUGGCAGCAGCCCCCGAGGGCACCCAAUGAGAGACCCCAACUGAGAGCCCCCAAGCAUGCCCUCCAGACUCCUGGCGAGUGGGACGAGACACACUUCUGCCCACUGAGAAGAUCCUCGGCCUUGAUGUCCAGCUCAGCGGUGACGGAACCCGGACAGAGAGAGCAGGACCCCAGCAUGAGAGUAGCAAUGGACGUCACAGCAAAACAUCCACAUUUCACAGUCACGACUUCCAGGAGCAAACCGAGCCUCUCCAGCAGCAGGUUCCAUCCUCAGCUUCAAGAUGACCCUGCGUGGGCGAGCUGUGUUUGUUUGACCCGUCUGGACCUGCAUGAACCUGAAGACAUGGGCCCCAGCCGGAGAGGAGGGGCCUGUGGUCACAGCCCGGUCACCAGCCCAGUCUCGGAUUCUUGGCCCCAUGACAGGUGCUGAAGAAAGGCAAGGGGGCUGGGGUCGCUGUGGGUGGUGCCACGUGGGAGGACACGUGUUAGAGGCACACGGCCAGUGUAGGUCCCUCCCUUUGUCACUGGCCAGCAGUGUUCUGCCCCCGGUCAGCUAUUUCCCUUCCACAGGCCUCAGUUCCCCUCUGAAAACACCAGCAUCACUGGCCAGUGGUAAAAAUUAAACACGCUCUUAAUCUUCCAGGCUCUGUCCUGGACACAUGGUGACCAUCACCAGCAUGAGUCAAAGGCCACGAACCAGGCAUGUGUGGCUUCAGGACAAAGGGACUGCACCCACACCCCAUUCAGUGGGGUGACCCCUUCCUGCUUCAUCCUCCUCCCCAGCAGCCACCUCCUCCCUCGGGGUGCUGGCUCUCCCCAGCCGCACAGCAGCCCGCACAGACCCGUGGCCUGUGUCCUGUCUCCCCAUCCCCCCAGGACAGCCAGGCUGUGUAGACAGGGCAGGGGACCAGCAUCUUCUGAGGCCCCAGACACAGCUCCUCAGGCCCCACC